rfam:Camelus ferus unplaced genomic scaffold scaffold94746, whole genome shotgun sequence.
GGAGAGUAGAGCUCAGUAGUAGAGCACGUGCUUAGCAUCCACAGGGUGCUGGGUUCAAUCCCCAGUACCUCCA